UUUCCCUAUAGCGAAAAAUCUCACUUUCUUCUAAACCUAAAACUCUCUCUCUCUUUCACCUACCUUAUAAAUCAGAUCAACCCUACUCCACUCUUUCCUUCUCUUUCACUAAACAAAGCUUCACUCCCUCUCUUUCUAUUCCUUUCUCUUGUGAGUGCAAGUCUUUUGAUGAACAGAAAAUUGGAGUUUUGAUUGAUCCAUGGAGAGCAAAGAGGGUGUAAAGAUGGAAGAUGUUAUGGGAAACUCAUCACCGUUUUCUGAUUAUAUAGCGAAUAGUUUCCCAUUACAAAGUAUAUUUGAUUUGAGUGAAGGAGAGAAGAUGCCAUUAGGGUUUAUGGAGUUACUGGGUGUUCAAGACAUGAGUAUUACUCCUUUAUUCGAUAUGGCACAGCAGGUACCAUCUCUUGCAACCCAACCUCCAAAUCCAACUUCGACGAAGAUCGACUCUCCUCCUGAGGUUUUUAAUCAGCCUGCUACUCCAAACUCUUCGUCGAUAUCAUCAGCAUCGAGUGAGGCUGUCAAUGAUGAUCCUGUUAAAGCAGAAGACCAAGAAGAAGACCAGCAAGAAACCAGAAAACAGUUGAAACCCAAGAAGACAAAUCAGAAGAGACAGAGAGAACCGAGAUUCGCGUUCAUGACAAAGAGCGAGGUUGAUCAUUUGGAAGAUGGGUACAGAUGGAGAAAGUACGGCCAAAAAGCUGUAAAAAACAGCCCCUUUCCUAGGAGUUAUUAUCGUUGCACCACCACCUCAUGUAAUGUGAAGAAAAGAGUCGAGAGAUCUUUCAGUGAUCCAAGCAUUGUGGUAACCACUUACGAAGGUCAACACACUCAUCCCAGCCCAGUCAUUCCUCGUCCCGGUCUCGGUGGCUCUCAUCUGACUUCAGGCAUCUCCGCCGGGGCAGCAGCAGCUUUUGGCAUGCCAAUGCAAAGGACUCCAUCUCACUAUCAGCAGCCAUUUGGCAAUGGCUUGUCUCCUUUGAGCGUUGGCCAUAAUGGUUCCAAUAUUAACGCCAGUUUUCUUCAUGAGAGGCGUUUUUGCACUCCAGGGCCGUCUUUGCUUAAAGACCAUGGCCUUCUUCAGGACAUCAUACCAUCCCACAUGCUGAAAGAAGAGUAGAUUAGAACAAUCCAUUACCGCUAUGUAAUUCUCUCUCUGACUUGGGUGAAAGGAGGUGUAGAUGGAAAUCAGUUCACUGAAGGAAUGUGCAUUGAUUCCCCCAUUGAAAGUACUGCAGUCGAGAUUUUGAGCGCUAGGGUUGUCUUCAGAGAGCAAUUAAUGUGGAAGCUGGAAAGCUUUCUAUUUGUCUGGGAAUCAACGAAAUCCAAUUUUUUUUCGUGGCACCGAGGCCUGCAAAUUGUAAGGAUUUGGUGAGAAAGAAAAUUAAAUGUGCUGUAUCUAAAUAUGCCCGAGGCAGAUGGAACAAUAAACUCGACUAGACGUCCUUUUAGCCUAAGCUACAUAAAUAACUCUACUCUUCUUGCGUCCGUGCUAUGCAACCCAUUGCUCAUAGAUUUGGUUCAAUGAAAUGGUGGGGGUUUGGGUGGGUAGAGGGGCGAAGAAAUCCAUUUACAUAGACAUGCACUAUGGAAGCUUGAUUCUUUUAUUCUUAAUCAUGGGGCUGGAUUUCACAUCGCUAUCCACUGUUUCUUUGUGGUUGUACGUCUGCUGGCCAUGUGAAUUUGUCACUGUUAAGAAUAUUGUUGCCAGGU